CCCUUAGAUGUUCUGGGCUGCACGCGCGCUACACUGAUGCGCUCAACGAGUUUAUGACCUUGCCCGGAAGGGUUGGGUAAUCUUCUUAAAACGCAUCGUGAUGGGGAUAGAUUAUUGCAAUUAUUACUCUUCAACGAGGAAUUCCUAGUAAGCGCCAGUCAGCAGCUUGCGCUGAUUACGUCCCUGCCCUUUGUACACACCGCCCGUCGCUCCUACCGAUGGGUGAUCCGGUGAAUGAUUCGGACUUCAGCGGCUCCCCUGGGGUGCGCCGGAGAAAGUUUUGUGAACCUUAUCACUUGGAGGAAGGAGAAGUCGUAACA
rnacentral:rRNA from 1 species